UACCAGCACCCCGAGUGGUCGGGACGUUUAUUGGGCCUAAAGCAUCCGUAGCCGGUUCUACAAGUCUUCCGUUAAAUCCACCUGCUUAACAGAUGGGCCGCGGAAGAUACUAUGGAGCUAGGAGGCGGGAGAGGCAAGCGGUACUCGAUGGGUAGGGGUAAAAUCCGUUGAUCCAUUGAAGACCACCAGUGGCGAAGGCGGCUUGCCAGAACGCGCUCGACGGUGAGGGAUGAAAGCUGGGGGGAGCAAACCGG
rnacentral:rRNA from 1 species